GCGUGCUUACACAUGCAAGUCGAGCGGAAAGGCCCUUCGGGGUACUCGAGCGGCGAACGGGUGAGUAACACGUGAGUAACCUGCCCCUGACUCUGGGAUAAGCCUGGGAAACCGGGUCUAAUACCGGAUACGACACUCCUCCGCAUGGUGUGGGUGUGGAAAGUUUUUUCGGUCGGGGAUGGGCUCGCGGCCUAUCAGCUUGUUGGUGGGGUGAUGGCCUACCAAGGCGACGACGGGUAGCCGGCCUGAGAGGGCGACCGGCCACACUGGGACUGAGACACGGCCCAGACUCCUACGGGAGGCAGCAGUGGGGAAUAUUGCGCAAUGGGCGGAAGCCUGACGCAGCGACGCCGCGUGGGGGAUGACGGCCUUCGGGUUGUAAACCUCUUUCAGCAGGGACGAAGUUGACGUGUACCUGUAGAAGAAGCGCCGGCUAACUACGUGCCAGCAGCCGCGGUAAUACGUAGGGCGCGAGCGUUGUCCGGAAUUAUUGGGCGUAAAGAGCUCGUAGGUGGCUUGUCGCGUCUGCCGUGAAAGCCCGUGGCUUAACUACGGGUCUGCGGUGGAUACGGGCAGGCUAGAGGCUGGUAGGGGCAAGCGGAAUUCCUGGUGUAGCGGUGAAAUGCGCAGAUAUCAGGAGGAACACCGGUGGCGAAGGCGGCUUGCUGGGCCAGUUCUGACGCUGAGGAGCGAACG
rnacentral:rRNA from 1 species